CACACUGGGACUGAGAUACGGCCCAGACUCCUACGGGAGGCAGCAGUAGGGAAUAUUGCGCAAUGGCCUAACGGCUGACGCAGCAACGCCGCGUGGAUGAUGAAGCUUUUCGGAGUGUAAAAUCCUUUCAGCAGGGAAGAAUAUCUUGACGGUACCUGCAGAAGAAGUCCCGGCCAACUCCGUGCCAGCAGCCGCGGUAACACGGGGGGGACAAGCGUUGUUCGGAUUCACUGGGCGUAAAGCGCUCGUAGGUGGGCUGGAUAGUCGGAUGUGAAAACCUGAGGCUUAACUUCAGGCCUGCAUCCGAAACUGCCAGUCUUGAGUACUGGAGAGGGUGGCGGAAUUCCUGGUGUAGCGGUGAAAUGCGUAGAUAUCAGGAGGAACACCGAUGGCGAAGGCAGCCACCUGGACAGAUACUGACACUGAGGGGCGAAGGCUAGGGUAGCAAACAGGAUUAGAUACCCUGGUAGUCCUAGCGGUAAACGAUGGGCACUAGGUGUUGGCGGUAUCGACCCCGCCAGUGCCGCAGCAAACGCAUUAAGUGCCCCGCCUGGGGAGUACGGUCGCAAGAUUGAAACUCAAAGGAAUUGACGGGGGCCCGCACAAGCGGUGGAGUAUGUGGUUCAAUUCGACGCAACGCGCAGAACCUUACCUGGGCUUGACAUAUACCGGAAAGCCACAGAGAUGUGGUUCCUCCUUCGGGAGUCGGUAUACAGGUGCUGCAUGGCUGUCGUCAGCUCGUGUCGUGAGAUGUUGGGUUAAGUCCCGCAACGAGCGCAACCCUCGUUCUUAGUUGCCAUCAGGUUAUGCUGGGGACUCUAAGAAGACUGCCGGUGACAAGCCGGAGGAAGGUGGGGAUGACGUCAAGUCCUCAUGGCCCUUACGCCCAGGGCUACACACGUACUACAAUGGCCGGUAUAGACGGCAGCAAUACCGCAAGGUGGAGCUAAUCCCUAAAACCGGCCUCAGUUCAGAUUGGAGUCUGCAACUCGACUCCAUGAAGGUGGAAUCGCUAGUAAUCGCAGAUCAGCAUGCUGCGGUGAAUACGUUCCCGGGCCUUGUACACACCGCCCGUCAAGCCAUGGGAGUGGGGGGUACCCGAAGUCGCCGACCUAACUU
rnacentral:rRNA from 1 species